UUCGCCCUUAGAGUUUGAUCCUGGCUCAGGAUGAACGCUGGCGGCGUGCUUAACACAUGCAAGUCGAACGGGAAAUAUUUCAUUGAGACUUCGGUGGAUCUGAUCUAUUUCUAGUGGCGGACGGGUGAGUAACGCGUGGGUAACCUGCCUUAUACAGGGGGAUAACAGUCAGAAAUGGCUGCUAAUACCGCUUAAGCGCACAGAGCUGCAUGGCUCGGUGUGAAAAACUCCGGUGGUAUAAGAUGGACCCGCGUUGGAUUAGCUAGUUGGUGGGGUAACGGCCCACCAAGGCGACGAUCCAUAGCCGGCCUGAGAGGGUGAACGGCCACAUUGGGACUGAGACACGGCCCAGACUCCUACGGGAGGCAGCAGUGGGGGAUAUUGCACAAUGGGGGAAACCCUGAUGCAGCGACGCCGCGUGGAGGAAGAAGGUUUUCGGAUUGUAAACUCCUGUCGUUAGGGACGAAUCAUGACGGUACCUAACAAGAAAGCACCGGCUAACUACGUGCCAGCAGCCGCGGUAAAACGUAGGGUGCAAGCGUUGUCCGGAAUUACUGGGUGUAAAGGGAGCGCAGGCGGACCGGCAAGUUGGAAGUGAAAUCUAUGGGCUCAACCCAUAAAUUGCUUUCAAAACUGCUGGCCUUGAGUAGUGCAGAGGUAGGUGGAAUUCCCGGUGUAGCGGUGGAAUGCGUAGAUAUCGGGAGGAACACCAGUGGCGAAGGCGACCUACUGGGCACCAACUGACGCUGAGGCUCGAAAGCAUGGGUAGCAAACAGGAUUAGAUACCCUGGUAGUCCAUGCCGUAAACGAUGAUUACUAGGUGUUGGAGGAUUGACCCCUUCAGUGCCGCAGUUAACACAAUAAGUAAUCCACCUGGGGAGUACGACCGCAAGGUUGAAACUCAAAGGAAUUGACGGGGGCCCGCACAAGCAGUGGAGUAUGUGGUUUAACUCGAAGCAACGCGAAGAACCUUACCAGGUCUUGACAUCCGAUGCAUAGUGCAGAGAUGCAUGAAGUCCUUCGGGACAUCAAGACAGGUGGUGCAUGGUUGUCGUCAGCUCGUGUCGUGAGAUGUUGGGUUAAGUCCCGCAACGAGCGCAACCCUUAUUGCCAGUUACUACGCAAGAGGACUCUGGCGAGACUGCCGUUGACAAAACGGAGGAAGGUGGGGAUGACGUCAAAUCAUCAUGCCCUUUAUGACCUGGGCUACACACGUACUACAAUGGCGUUUAACAAAGAGAAGCAAGACCGCGAGGUGGAGCAAAACUCAAAAACAACGUCUCAGUUCAGAUUGCAGGCUGCAACUCGCCUGCAUGAAGUCGGGAUUGCUAGUAAUCGCGGAUCAGCAUGCCGCGGUGAAUACGUUCCCGGGCCUUGCACACACCGCCCGUCA
rnacentral:rRNA from 1 species